rnacentral:sRNA from 1 species
AGGUGGGCAGGUGCCUGGGCGGGGCGCGCCGCGGUAGGCGCGCGGGCGGCGGGGCGGCUGCCUAGCACCCGGAAGAGCCGUCAACUUAGCGAACGCAACAGGCUGCCGCUGAGGGACUGGAGCUGGUGGAGACUGGGCCGCAAUGGACAAGCUGAAGAAGGUGCUGAGCGGGCAGGACACGGAGGACCGGAGCGGCCUGUCUGAGCUCUUUUCUUCCCACCUGCAACUAGUUCUUUUCUCACUUUGGCAAGGUUGUUGAGGCAUCUUCAUUAAGCUGGGGUACCAGGAUAAAAGGCUUCAUUGCGUGUUUUGCUAUAGGAAUUCUCUGCUCACUGCUGGGUACUGUUCUGCUGUGGGUGCCCAGGAAGGGACUACACCUCUUCGCAGUGUUUUAUACCUUUGGUAAUAUCGCAUCAAUUGGGAGUACCAUCUUCCUCAUGGGACCAGUGAAACAGCUGAAGCGAAUGUUUGAGCCUACUCGUUUGAUUGCAACUAUCAUGGUGCUGUUGUGUUUUGCACUUACCCUGUGUUCUGCCUUUUGGUGGCAUAACAAGGGACUUGCACUUAUCUUCUGCAUUUUGCAGUCUUUGGCAUUGACGUG